CCCUACGGGGGGCAGCAGUGGGGAAUAUUGCACAAUGGGGGGAACCCUGAUGCAGCAACGCCGCGUGAGUGAAGAAGUAUUUCGGUAUGUAAAGCUCUAUCAGCAGGGAAGAAAAUGACGGUACCUGACUAAGAAGCUCCGGCUAAAUACGUGCCAGCAGCCGCGGUAAUACGUAUGGAGCAAGCGUUAUCCGGAUUUACUGGGUGUAAAGGGAGCGCAGGCGGUACGGCACGUCCGAUGUGAAAGCCCGG
rnacentral:rRNA from 1 species